rnacentral:lncRNA from 1 species
GAAAUAGGCAAUGCCCCUUGGAUACAGCAUGCCUUAAGAUAUAAAGAGGUGAGGAGAAGCCAGAGGUCCUUGGUGUGCCCUCAGAAAUCUGCCUGCAGUUCUCACCAAGCCGCUGUGAAAAUGGGGAUAAACACCCGGGAGCUGUUUCUCAACUUCACUAUUGUCUUGAUUACGGUUAUUCUUAUGUGGCUCCUUGUGAGGUCCUAUCAGUACUGAGAGGCCAUGCCAUGGUCCUGGGAUUGACUGAGAUGCUCCGGAGCUGCCUGCUCUAUGCCCUGAGACCCCACUGCUGUCAUUGUCACAGGAUGCCAUUCUCCAUCCGAGGGCACCUGUGACCUGCACUCACAAUAUCUGCUAUGCUGUAGUGCUAGGAUUGAUUAUGUGUUCUCCAAAGAUGCUGCUCCCAAGGGCUGCCAAGUGUUUGCCAGGGAACGGUAGAUUUAUUCCCCAACUCUUAACUGAAAAUGUGUUAGACAAGCCACAAAGUUAAAAUUAAACUGGAUUCAUGAUGAUGUAGGAUUGUUACAAGCCCCUGAUCUGUCUCACCACACAUCCCUUCAACCCACACGGUCUGCAACCAAACUCUAAUUCAACCUGCCAGAAGGAAUGUUAGAGGAAGUCUUUGUCAGCCCUUAUAGCUAUCAUGUGAAUAAAGUUAAGUCAACUUC